rnacentral:rRNA from 1 species
GACGAACGCUGGCGGCGUGCUUAACACAUGCAAGUCGAACGGAAAGGCCCUGCUUUUGUUGGGGGCUCGAGUGGCGAACGGGUGAGUAACACGUGAGUAACCUGCCCUUGACUUUGGGAUAACUUCAGGAAACUGGGGCUAAUACCGGAUAGGAGCUCCUGCUGCAUGGGGGGGGUUGGAAAGUUUCGGCGGUUGGGGAUGGACUCGCGGCUUAUCAGCUUGUUGGUGGGGUAGUGGCUUACCAAGGCUUUGACGGGUAGCCGGCCUGAGAGGGUGACCGGCCACAUUGGGACUGAGAUACGGCCCAGACUCCUACGGGAGGCAGCAGUGGGGAAUAUUGCACAAUGGGCGGAAGCCUGAUGCAGCAACGCCGCGUGCGGGAUGACGGCCUUCGGGUUGUAAACCGCUUUCGCCUGUGACGAAGCGUGAGUGACGGUAAUGGGUAAAGAAGCACCGGCUAACUACGUG